GUCCUAUCUAGGUUGUUUAGUUCUAUGUGGCCUGGUAUGGUUCCCAAUCAGAGGCAGCUGUUUAUCAUUGUCUCUGAUUGGGGAUCAUAUUUAGGCAGCCAUUUCCCCACUAUGUUUUGUGGGAUGUUGUUUUUGUGUUGUUGCCUUUGAGCACUUCAUUUACAUCACGUUCGGUGUUUCUUUAUUUUGUAUUGUUCUAAGUUCCACUUCAAUAAAUAUGUGGAACCCAGAUCACGCAGUGCUUUGGUCCGAGUAUGCUUCCAACGAUGAUCGUGACACAUUGUCCAUUUGGAAGACCCAUUUGCAACCAAGCUUUAACUUCCUUACUGAUGUCUUGAGAUGUUGCUUCAAUAUAUCAACAAUUUUCCUUCCUCAUGACGCCAUCUAUUUUGUGAACUGCAUCAGUCCCUCCUGCAGCAAAGCACACCAACAACAUGAUGCUGCCACCCCUGUGCUUCACGGUUGGGAUGGUGUUCUUCGGCUUGCAAGCCUCCCCCUUUUUCCUCCAAACAUAAUGAUGGUCAUUAUGGCCAAACAGUUCUAUUUUUGUUUCAUCAGACCAGAGGACAUUUCUCCAAAAAUUACAAUCUUUGUCCCCAUGUGCAGUUGCAAACCGUAGUCUGGCUUUUUUAUGGCGGUUUUGGAGCAGUGGCUUCUUCCUUGCUGAGAGGCCUUUCAGGUUAUGUUGAUAUAGGACUCGUUUUACUGUGGAUAUAGAUACUUUUGUACCUGUUUCCUCCAGCAUCUUCACAAGGUCCUUUGCUGAUGUUCUGGGAUUGAUGCGCACUUUUCGCACACAAGUACGUUCAUCUCGAGGAGACAGAAUGCGUCUCCUUCCUGAGCGGUAUGAAGGCUGCGUGGUCCCAUGGUGUUUAUACUUGCGUACUAUUGAUUGCACUGAUGAAAGUGGUAUCAGGUGUUUGGAAAUUGCUCCCAAGGAUAAACCAGACUUGUGGAGGUCUACAAUAUUUUUUCUGAAGUCUUGGCUGAUUUCUUUUGAUUUUCCCAUGAGUUUGAAGUUCGAAGGUAGGCCUUGAAAUACAUCUACAGGUACACCUCCAAUAGACUCAAAUUAUGUCAAUUAGCCUAUCAGAAGUUUCUAAAGCCAUGACAUCCUUUCUGGAAUUUUCCAAGCUGUUUAAAGGCACAGUCAAUUUAUUGUAUGUAAACUUCUGACCCACUGGAAUUGUGAUACAGUGAAAUAAUCUGUCUGUAAACAAUUGUUGGAAAAAUUACUUGUGUCAUGCACAAAGUAGAUGUCCUAACCGACUUUCCAGAACUAUAGUUUAUUCACAAGAAAUUUGUGGAGUGGUUGAAAAAUGAGUUUUAAUGACUCAAACCUAAGUGUAUGUAAACUUCCGAGUUCAACAAUAUGUCUCAGUCUGUGAGUCAUGCCGUGGGUAGAGGUCGUUCCCAUGCUGGUUGUGUUGUUUCCCUGCUGGUAGAGGUGGAACUCCACAGAGGUGACUGGAAUGAAGAGGAGGCUUUGGUGUCUGUCUCUACCCUACCGCCUGGUGAGUGAGGUGUCUGUCUCUACCCUACCGCCUGGUGAGUGAGGUUUCUGUCUCUACCCUACCGCCUGGUGAGUGAGGUUUCUGUCUCUACCCUACCGCCUGGUGAGUGAGGUGUCUGUCUCUACCCUACCGCCUGGUGAGUGAAGUGUCUGUCUCUACCCUACCGCCUGGUGAGUGAGGUGUCUGUCUCUACCCUACCGCCUGGUGAGUGAGGUUUCUGUCUCUACCCUACCGCCUGGUGAGUGAGGUUUCUGUCUCUACCCUAUCGCCUGGUGAGUGAGGUGUCUGUCUCUACCCUAUCGCCUGGUGAGUGAGGUUUCUGUCUCUACCCUAUCGCCUGGUGAGUGAGGUGUCUGUCUCUACCCUACCGCCUGGUGACUAAGGUCUUCAAUGUGGAACAGAAACAUCACUAAACAAUGUUAGGCCAGGGAUGACCAGGGGUGUCCUGUGUUAUCUAAACAUUGUGUGUGAGUUAUCUGGAUGUUGUGUGUAUCCUCUGUGCUAGACUGUAGGGAAGAGACGUACCCCUGUACCAGGAUGUACUCUGUCCACCGGCCCAUCAAGAGAUGCAUCCACUCCCUCUGCCUUUACAGGUAAACUGCAACUACAGGUUCUCUCUCACAGGAAAACAUAGACACACUCAGUGCCUCCUGGUCAUGCAGUCAAAGUUCAUUGGUUUCAACCUGAGAGCCUGUACAGAGAGGCAUGUUUUAGAGACAGCAGCUGGGCUCUGAUUAUAGUGUAAUGAUGUAUGUCUCCUGGUUUGUCUCAGCCUCCCUCUAUGUGAUCAACAAGGAGAUAUGUGUUAGAACUGUCUGCCAACAGGAUGAGUACCUGAAGGGUAAGACAGUCCACCUGAUAGCACUUCAUUAGACCCGUUGUUAGGAUUACAACAACAUAACAAUCUUAGAGUGCAUGAAACACUUACUGGCUUUAGGACAGCAUGUACAUCUGAGCCCACACAUCCUCUCUCUCUUCUCUCCAUCCCAGCUGAGCUCUGCAGGGAGCGGUCCGGCUGGCCCAAACGCUUCCAGAGGUCAACCACCAAUAAGAAACGCUGUCACAAUCGCCGCGGCAAUCCCAAAAUCUGGGAAAACAAGGCCUGAUGGGCCCAAGACGGAGGAGUUAGAAGGAGGGGUGGAGGAGGAAGGAGAGGAGGACAGAAAGAGAGAAGGAGGGGUGGAGGAGGAAGGAGAGAAGGAGUAGGAGGGAGGACACCCUUGGAGACAGAACACUGGGUUGUCUCCAUAAAAAGACCCGGAAACACCAUAAAUUCCCCGCUCAACACCUGGUGCUAGCCUGUGCCUUAAUACACAACCACAACCACGCACGCACACACACAAACAAUAUAUAUUUAAAACACAGUCCACGUGACUCCAGUUAAGAGCAGUCUGAGUCAUAUUUUUCAUUUCUUCUAUUGGACCUGUGUUUUAAUAGAACUGUCUGUGAAUAUCAGGGGAGAAAUCACUCCCCACAGAUUGGACCUGUGUUUUAAUAGAACUGUCUGUG
ensembl:lncRNA